AGUCUCAUCCUCUUAGCUGCUGCUGGUUUGAGGAGCGUUCUGUGCGGGUCUGGACGCCCCCGCCUGAACAAGGUGCUUUCUAGAGGGGGCGAGUAAGCGAGCACCACUCGGUGUUUGCUCCGCGAACGCCACCUGCUGGCCCGAACUGGGUUGGGCACUGGAGUUUCACGAGAGUGCUGAGGCGCCGGUCCCGCCAGGAGAAAAUGUGGUCAUGGCCUCCUCGUUUCCCCUCAGAGCUGCAUGUGAGCCCUCCUUUCCAUCCCUUCAUGGAUCCAUUUCUUCAUUGUUAUGGGCUGUAUUUUGUUCCCUCGAAUUCACAUGUUGAAGUCCCAAUCCCCAGAGCUGCAGAAUGUUACUGUAUUAGGAGACAAAGCCGUUAAAGAAGAAAUUAAGUCAAAAUGAGGCCGUUAGGGUGGGCCCUAGUCCAAUAUGACUGGUGACCUUAUAAGAAGAAAUCUGGACAUGCAAAGCACCGAGAGCUACAAGUGGACAGAGGGCCAAUCAUGUGACAAGGCAGCAAGGGGACAGCCAUCUGCAAGCCAAGGAGAGCAGCUUCAGCUCAAAACCAAUCCUUGGAAGACUGAAAUGUUUUCUUUAAGAUUGGGAACAAAGCAGCCAGGUGCAGUGGCUCACGCCUGUAAUCCCAGCACUUUGGGAGGCUGAGGCGGGCGGAUCACCUGAGGUUGGGAGUUCGAGACCAGCCUGACCAACAUGGAAAAACCCUGCCUCUACUAAAAAUACAAAAUUAUCCUGGUGUGGUGCCGCAUGCCUGUAAUCCCAGCUACUUGGGAGGCUGAGGCAGGAGAAUGGCAUGAACGCGGGAGGCGGAGUUUAGAGUGAGCCAAGAUCACUCCAUUGCACUUCAGCCUGGGCAACAAGAGCGAAACUCUGUCUCCAAAAAAAAAAAAAAAAGGGAGCAAAGCAAGGAUGCCUGCUUUGGCCACUUCUAUUUACAUAGUACUGAGUCUUAGCCAGAGCAACUAGGCAAGAAAAAGAAAUAAAAGGCAUCCAAAUUGAAAAGGAAGAAGUAAAUUAUCUCUGUUCGAAGAAGAUAUGAUCUCAUAUGCAGAAAACCUGAAGAUUCCACACAUGCACAAACCUGUUAAAAUAAAUGAAUUCAGCGAAGUAGCAGGGUACCAAGUAAAUAAACCCAGAUCCAUUGCAUGUCUGUAUACUAAUAAUCUAAUAAUGAACAAUCUGAAAAAGAAAUUAUGAAAAAAUAAUACUAUUUACAACAGUAUUACAAAGAAGUUUAGGAAUUAACUUGACUAAGGAGAAGAAAGAUUUGCACAAGGAAAACUACCAAACGUUGCUGAAAGAAUUUUUUUUUUUUGAGACACCCCAGAGUCUUGCUCUGUCACUCAGGCUGGAGUGUAGUAGCAUGAUCUCGGCUCACUGCAACCUCCAUCUACCAGGUUCAAGUGAUUCUCUUGCCUCGGCCUCCCUAGUAGCUGGAAUUACAGGUGUGCACCACUACAGCCAGCUAGUUUCUUGUAUUUUAGUAGAGACUGGGUUUCACCAUGUUGCUCAGGCUGGUCUCGAACUCCUAAGCUCAGGCAAUCCACCCGCCUUGGCCUCCCAAAGUGCUGGAAUUACAGGUGUGAGCCGCUGCGCCCAGCCAGGUUGUUUCUUUUCACGUUGCUGAGUUUCAGGAGUUCUCUGUAUAUUCUGUAUAUGAAUCUCUUAUCAGAUACAUGAUUUGCAAAUAUGUUCUCCCAUUCUGCUGGUUGUGUUUUGGUCUGUUCAUGUUGCCUUUUGGUGUACAAAACUUUAAAUUUUUUUUUUUUUUUUGAGACUGAGUCUCGCUCUGUCUCCCAGGCUGGAGUGCAGUGGCGCGAUCUGGGCUCACCGCAAGCUCCGCCUCCCAGGUUCACGCCAUUCUCCUGCCUCAGCCUCCCCAGCAGCUGGGACUGCAGGCACACGCUGCCAUGCUCAGCUAAUUUUUUUGUAUUUAUUUUUUAGUAGAGACGGGGUUUCACCAUGUUAGCCAGGAUGGUCUCGAUCUCCUAACCUUGUGAUCCAACCACCUCAGCCUCCCAAAGUGCUGGGAUUACAGGCGUGACCCACCGCGCCUGGCCUUUUAAAUUUUUAUGAAGUCCAAUUUGCCCACUUUUUCUUUUGUUGCCUGUGCUUUUGGUAUCAUAUUCAAGCAGUCAUUGUCGAACCCAACGUUGUGAGCUCACACUGUAAACAAGUAUUCUUUUUGUUGCCUACGUAGUGCCGCUUUUUUCACAUUUGGUGCUUUUGUGUUCAAUGGCCUCAAGCACAGUGCUGAAGUGCUGUCGAACGCUUGAGUGUGCUUCCAUGUGCCUUGCAGAGAAAAUACAUGUGUUAGACCAGCUUUGUUCAGGCAUGAGUUAUAGCGCUGUUGGCUAUUAUUUCCAUGUUAAUGAAUCAAUGACAUAUGUUAAAUAAGGGUGUCUCUAAACAGAAAUUCACAUAAAACAAGGUUACAUAUUUCUCAGCUGAUAAAAAUAUCGUGACCAUAGGCUCAUAAGAACCUAAUCCUAUAUUUAUCGUAUGAGCAGCAGUUCAGUAUUCUCUAAUUCAGUGUUUGUGUUGAAUUUAUAGAACAUAACUACUGUGGUUAACAAGAAUUGCGUCUGUCUAUCUAUCUAUCAUCGUCUAAUAGAAAAUAUGUAAAAGAUUUGAAUGCACACUUCACAAAAGAAGCUAUACAAAUAGCCAAUAAUCACAUGAAAAAUUGUCCAACAUCAUUAAUUGUUGGGGAAACGCAUAUUAAAACCUCAAAGGGCUACCAUUAUGUACCCAUAAGAAUGGCUAAAAUUUUAAAAGAUUGAUAAUAGAAGAUGUGGAGAAACUGGAACUCUCAUACAUUUUUGAUGGGAAUGGAAAAUGGUACAACCAUUUCAGAAACCAUUUUGAUGGUUUCCUAAAAAACCUAAGAUUCACUGACAAUUUGACUUGGCCACUCCAGCUAGAUACGCCCACACAAAGACUUUUAUGUGAAUGUUCCUAGCAGCUUUAGUCAUAAUAACUAAAACUGAACCAAGCCAAAUGUCCAUUGGCAGAUGGAUGAAUAAAUAAAGACAUAUUCAUACAAUGGGUUACUGGGGAAAAACAGCAAUAAGAAGAAAUGAACUGCUGAAGCACUCAACAACAUGAAUGAAUGUCAGGCACAUCAUGCUGAACAAAAGAAUGCAGGCACCGUGUACACUGUGUAUGAGUAUACCGUGUAAGAUUUUAUUUAUACAAAAUGCUAGAAAUGACAAAUCUAAUCCAUAGUGAAGAAAGUAGAUUAGUGGUUGCGUGGGACUGAGGGGUGAGGGUGGUGGGGAUUGACUGGGAAAGGGCACAGGAACUGUCUUAUGUGACGGAAAUGUUCUUUCUUUUGAUUGUCGUGGUUGUUACAUGCAUGCAUGUAUGUGCCACACUUAUCAAAAUGUAUGUGGAAAAUAGUUGUCUUUUAUUAAAUGCAAAUUGUGCCUCAA